rnacentral:tRNA from 1 species
UGGCUCAGAUGGUAAAGAAUCUGCCUGCAAAGCAGGAGACCUGGGUUCGAUUCCUGG